AGAGAUAAAGGGAGAUGGAUCUUUCUUCCCCUUUUCUCCCCGGUCUCCGGUGAUUGUUGCUCUCUCAAAUUUACCUUUUCUAUUGUACUAAUCCUUCGAGGAAUUGUUGUAUUUGGAGAAAGAAAAUCAACCCAUAUGUACAUGCUGGGAUGAUGGAGAUGGAGUGAUUUUUGGUCAAAUUAGGGCUGGAAGAAUCAACAAGAAAAUAAAGAAGAAAGUCUUAUGAGUUGGUCAUGGAUUUGGAAAUAGUCUCAGACCAAGAAACAGACGAGAGAAUGAUGUAGCCGUCGUUCAUAUUGGCAAUGGAUGGAGGAUAGUUAGAAUAAUUAUGAAUGUCGGAUUGAAGGCUUAAUAUUAUUUAUGAAAUACAAAUGGGUGUUCCGUGUCAGCAUAGAAGGAAUGAUUUUACCACUUUAGUGUAUUUCUACACGAGCACUUGCUCAUUUUGUUUAUUUAAGCUUGAAUAUUCAUUUUUAAGUUUCAAUGCUUUCAAUGUUGUCCGAGUCCCAAGUCCUCUUACUUGGAUUUUAGAUGUUGGUAUAAAAUGAUUAUGCGAUGUUAGUAAAGUCCGAGUUCGCUCUUUGUGUGGAACAAUUUGACUUGGAAUGUAACGUAAUUCCUUUUGGAGUUUGGAAACUGAAAAUAUAACAUUUGGUAUAUUUCAUUUCUUAUUAUUCUCA